UGGGUAACCCGGGGUGACUCUAAGCCACCUUCGAGAGGACCAGGAACCCAGUGGGGCACCAGAUACCUGAAACCAGUAUGCCCCCCCGUGCCAGGGUCCGGGGACUUCGCAGUGAGAGAGUUCUUCCUGCCCCCACUCAAGCCUGGGAGGUCUCCCUGAGUGCUGCCUAUAUCUGACUCCUGCCCCGGCUCUCUGGCUGUGACGUUAUCGGUUUGAGAAUCUGUCACAUGGUUGUCUCCUCCCGGUGUUUCUUUUUAUAGCUUAUCAUCAUGUCUGUGUAUGGUUCUGGGUUUCCACUUCUGAUGGUGACAUCAAGUUUCCUUGUAAAACUUAAGUAAGAAAAAAUACGAAUAACACACAAGACAGGUGGAGACGGAUGUAAUUAAACGGGAACACAGCAUCA